UACAGAGGGGGCAAGCGUUGUUCGGAAUUACUGGGCGUAAAGGGCGCGUAGGCGGCCUGCUAAGUCGAACGUGAAAUCCCUGGGCUCAACCCAGGAACUGCGUCCGAUACUGGUUGGCUUGAAUCCGGGAGAGGGAUGUGGAAUUCCAGGUGUAGCGGUGAAAUGCGUAGAUAUCUGGAGGAACACCGGUGGCGAAGGCGACAUCCUGGACUGGCAUUGACGCUGAGGCGCGAAAGCCAGGGGAGCAAACGGG
rnacentral:rRNA from 1 species